rnacentral:rRNA from 1 species
CGAGUGAAGCGGGAAAAGCUCAAAUUUAAAAUCUGGCAGUCUUUGGCUGUCCGNAAUUGUAUUCUGGAGAAGCGUCUUCCGCGCUGGACCGUGUACAAGUCUCUUGGAAUAGAGCGUCAUAGAGGGUGAGAAUCCCGUCUUUGACACGGACUACCAGUGCUUUGUGAUGCGCUCUCAAAGAGUCGAGUUGUUUGGGAAUGCAGCUCAAAAUGGGUGGUGAAUUCCAUCUAAAGCUAAAUAUUGGCGAGAGACCGAUAGCGAACAAGUACCGUGAGGGAAAGAUGAAAAGCACUUUGGAAAGAGAGUUAAACAGUACGUGAAAUUGCUGAAAGGGAAACGCUUGAAGUCAGUCGCGUCAUCCAGAACUCAGCCUGGCUUCUGCCUGGUGUACUUUCUGGUUGACGGGCCAGCAUCAGUUUUGACCGCUGGAAAAAGGCCAUGGGAAUGUGGCACCUUCGGGUGUGUUAUAGCCUGUGGUCAUAUACAGCGGUUGGGACUGAGGACCGCAGCACGCCUUUAUGGUUGGGGUUCGCCCACAUUCGUGCUUAGGAUGCUGGCGUAAUGGCUUUAAACGACCCGUCUUGAAACACGGACCAAGGAGUCUAACAUGCCUGCGAGUGUUUGGGUGGAAAACCCGAGCGCACAAUGAAAGUGAAAGUUGGGAUCCCUGUCGUGGGGAGCACCGACGCCCGGACCAGACCUUUUGUGACGGAUCCGCGGUAGAGCAUGUAUGUUGGGACCCGAAAGAUGGUGAACUAUGCCUGAAUAGGGUGAAGCCAGAGGAAACUCUGGUGGAGGCUCGUAGCGAUUCUGACGUGCAAAUCGAUCGUCAAAUUUGGGUAUAGGGGCGAA